rnacentral:rRNA from 1 species
CAGCAGCCGCGGGAAUACGUAGGUGGCAAGCGUUGUCCGGAAUUAUUGGGCGUAAAGGGCUCGCGGGCGGUUUCUUAAGUCUGAUGUGAAAGCCCCCGGCUCAACCGGGGAGGGUCAUUGGAAACUGGGAAACUUGAGUGCAGAAGAGGAGAGUGGAAUUCCACGUGUAGCGGUGAAAUGCGUAGAGAUGUGGAGGAACACCAGUGGCGAAGGCGACUCUCUGGUCUGUAACUGACGCUGAGGAGCGAAAGCGUGGGGAGCGAACAGGAUUAGAUACCCGCGUAGUCCCUGUCUCUUAUAC